rnacentral:rRNA from 1 species
ACAGAGGUGACAGGUGGUGCAUGGUUGUCGUCAGCUCGUGUCGUGAGAUGUUGGGUUAAGUCCCGCAACGAGCGCAACCCCUAUUGUUAGUUGCCAUCAUUUAGUUGGGCACUCUAGCGAGACUGCCGGUAAUAAACCGGAGGAAGGUGGGGAUGACGUCAAAUCAUCAUGCCCCUUAUGACCUGGGCUACACACGUGCUACAAUGGCUGGUACAACGAGUCGCAAGCCGGUGACGGCAAGCUAAUCUCUUAAAGCCAGUCUCAGUUCGGAUUGUAGGCUGCAACUCGCCUACAUGAAGUCGGAAUCGCUAGUAAUCGCGG